rnacentral:rRNA from 1 species
AGUAACGGCGAGUGAAGCGGCAACAGCUCAAAUUUGAAAUCUGGCCUCUUUCGGGGUCCGAGUUGUAAUUUGUAGAGGAUGUUUUGGGUACCGCGCUGGUUUAAAUUUCUUGGAACAGAAUGUCAGAGAGGGUGAGAAU